rnacentral:tRNA from 1 species
UUCCGAUAUAGUGUAACGGCUAUCACACCACGCUCUCACCGUGGAGACCCGGGUUCGACUCCCGGUAUCGGAGU